rnacentral:rRNA from 1 species
CCUACGGGGGGCAGCAGUGAGGAAUCUUCCACAAUGGGCGAAAGCCUGAUGGAGCAACGCCGCGUGCAGGAUGAAGGCCUUCGGGUUGUAAACUGCUUUUAUUAGUGAGGAAUAUGACGGUAACUAAUGAAUAAGGGUCGGCUAACUACGUGCCAGCAGCCGCGGUCAUACGUAGGACCCAAGCGUUAUCCGGAGUGACUGGGCGUAAAGAGUUGCGUAGGUGGUUUGUAAAGCGAAUAGUGAAAUCUGGGGGCUCAACCUCACAGGCUAUUAUUCGAACUCACAAACUCGAGAGUGGUAGAGGUAACUGGAAUUUCUAGUGUAGGAGUGAAAUCCGUAGAUAUUAGAAGGAACACCAAUGGCGUAGGCAGGUUACUGGACCAUUUCUGACACUGAGGCACGAAAGCGUGGGGAGCGAACCGGAUUAGAUACCCGGGUAGUC